GAUGAAGAACGUAGCGAAAUGCGAUAAGUAAUGUGAAUUGCAGAAUUCAGUGAAUCAUCGAAUCUUUGAACGCACAUUGCGCCCGCCAGUAUUCUGGCGGGCAUGCCUGUUCGAGCGUCAUUACAACCCUCAGGCCCCCGGGCCUGGCGUUGGGGAUCGGCGGAAGCCCCCUGUAGGCACACGCCGUCCCUCAAAUACAGUGGCGGUCCCGCCGCAGCUUCCAUUGCGUAGUAGCUAACACCUCGCAACUGGAGAGCGGCGCGGCCAUGCCGUAAAACACCCAACUUCUGAAUGUUGACCUCGAAUCAGGUAGGAAUACCCGCUGAACUUAAGCAUAUCAAUAAGCGGAGGA
rnacentral:misc_RNA from 1 species